CCCUUAGACGUUCUGGGCCGCACGCGCGCUACACUGACGAAGGCAACGAGCUUUCCUUUACCGAAAGGUACGGGUAAUCUUUUGAAACUUCGUCGUGCUGGGGAUAGAUCCUUGCAAUUAUUGAUCUUAAACGAGGAAUUCCUAGUAAGCGCAAGUCAUCAACUUGCGUUGAUUGCGUCCCUGCCCUUUGUACACACCGCCCGUCGCUACUACCGAUUGAAUGGUUUAGUGAGGCCUUCGGAUCCGCGACUCGUUUUGUGGAGAAGUUGGACAAACUCAGUCAUUUAGAGGAAGUAAAAGUCGUAACA
rnacentral:rRNA from 1 species